UACGUAGGGGGCAAGCGUUGUCCGGAUUUAUUGGGCGUAAAGAGCGUGUAGGCGGUUAGGUAGGUCCGUUGUGAAAACUCGAGGCUCAACCUCGAGACGCCGAUGGAAACCAUCUAACUAGGGUCCGGAAGAGGAGAAUGGAAUUCCUGGUGUAGCGGUGAAAUGCGCAGAUAUCAGGAAGAACACCCAUGGCUAAGGCGGUUCUCUAGUACGGUACUGACGCUGAGACGCGAAAGCGUGGGGAGCGAACAGG
rnacentral:rRNA from 1 species